rnacentral:miRNA from 2 species
AGGGACGGGACGUGGUGCAGUGUU